UGGGGAAUAUUGCACAAUGGGCGCAAGCCUGAUGCAGCAACGCCGCGUGAGGGAUGACGGCCUUCGGGUUGUAAACCUCUUUUAGUAGGGAAGAAGCGAAAGUGACGGUACCUGCAGAAAAAGCACCGGCUAACUACGUGCCAGCAGCCGCGGUAAUACGUAGGGUGCGAGCGUUGUCCGGAAUUAUUGGGCGUAAAGAGCUCGUAGGCGGUCUGUCGCGUCUGCUGUGAAAACCCGAGGCUCAACCUCGGGCCUGCAGUGGGUACGGGCAGACUAGAGUGCGGUAGGGGAGAAUGGAAUUCCUGGUGUAGCGGUGGAAUGCGCAGAUAUCAGGAGGAACACCGAUGGCGAAGGCAGUUCUCUGGGCCGUAACUGACGCUGAGGAGCGGAAAGCGUGGGGAGCGAACAGGAUUAGAUACCCUGGUAGUCCACGCCGUAAACGUUGGGCGCUAGAUGUGGGGACCAUUCCACGGUUUCCGUGUCGCAGCUAACGCAUUAAGCG
rnacentral:rRNA from 1 species